UGUGCACAGAUGUAGGAAUCUAAAUUCGAUUAAAAAUAUUACAAACACACGCACAAAAUAUUCAUUCACUACGUUGAUAUAAUGAAUUUAAGUUUUUAAAGAAAGAAACAAAGUGGAUGGAAGUAUGGAACAAUCUAGAAACCGAAAGAAAUGAGUUUUCAGUAAAAAUAUGUAAAUAAAGUUGAGUGAAGUCAACAAAUGAUGAGGCAAAGGUCGGCUAGUGAAGCUCCAAUGAGAAGGGGAUGCCACAUUUUGGCCGGUGACACGUAUCAAACCCACUCACCUCUCUUCAUUAUUCAAUCAUAUUUUAUAAGUAUAGUCAAUUUGAAAAUUAGAGCACUGAUGUUGACUUUUCAUAAUAUAUGUCGCAUGAAUAGAGUGUGUUCAUUCACUCAUUGCAUGUAUGUAUCAUCUCAUAUUUUAAUUAAAAACAAAAAUCUGAUAAGAAGUCUCAGCAAAACUAAUAUUAUAUGCCAGCAAGUGUUUUCCCAAUAAACUAAAAUGAGUUAGAUUCUUGCUCUUGUUCAGAGAAUAUUCGAUCAACAUAAACUAUUUUAAUCAACGUCAUAUCAAACCAUUUGUUAUGAAAUGAAAAUGGUAUAACCAUUCAGUUUUGCUCAUUUCUGAUUUUAAAACCAUAAAUGUUUUAAAAGAAGUUUGUGCGUAUAUAUAUAUAACUGAAAUCAAGCAUGUUACGCCUUUCCUCAAGAAAAAAAGAAGAAAUCAAGCAUAUUGACUGCAGAACCACAAAUUCCAAGUAGGACACAUUCGAAUCAAUUCAUCACAGAAAACACCCGUGUUUGGAUUCGCAACAUCAUGUCACUCAGCUGUUACCAUAUAUGAUUGAGUGGCUUCUUGUUGCUGACAAUGACUACUAAAUGAUAAACGACUUAAAUUUCAUGUAGCGUUAAAGACUCUAAAUAAAAUUGGACCAACCACAAUAAAUUAAAAGUUUCAAAAACAUAAACUAAGUUUAAAAUAAAAAUUGCUAAAAGUACUAAAAGAAAUACUCUAAAGUUGAACUAGAAAAAUAGAGGUGUGGAGAUUUCAGUCGGUGGUAGAGAAACCGAGAUCAUGAUCAGGUGCAUCAACAGAUAGGCUGAGAACAUAUAAAGCCCUUAGAGAAUUUAGACUUGAGUGCCUCUGGCGACUCCAUCAGGAGCUAGAUCUGCGAUUGAUCCACAUCUCCAACAGCAUUCCUGUGACUUUACCCACGUGAAGUGGUCCUGCCUUUCCACAAGUGGGUAAAAGUCACUCUCCAAGCAUGCAUGUUGGCAACCAAAUAAGUAAAAAUAUAAAUGAACAUGCCAACCUUUAUCAACUCUCUGUAAACGUCUUCUUUAAAAGAUAUUUAAAGUUAGAGAUACGCUUUGAAAUAUACAUUAAAUGCAAAAGCAAACGCAAAAGAAAAAAGAGAGAGGGGGCAAACCCGUGUGCGAUCAGCUAAGACUAGAGGAAGCUUAGAGAGAAGUAAGCUUAGAGAUCGGAAGUAAGGAAACUUUCUCGUGAUGUUUGAAGAAGCAUCAAUUCGCAAAGGCAUGACUGGAGGAGGGCUCAAAUUACAGUGCAUAAGCUGGCAAUAUCCAUCCAAACCAACUCAGUUUCAUGUUUAUCUGAAAAAACUAUAAACCAAACUCUGUAAGCUUAAUUUGUUGUUGUUGGAUGUGAUGCGGCAUGUUAGUAGCACCGCGUCCCGAAUCCCAUUUGACGACCGGCCUAGGGCUGUCUCUGAAGAGGAUAAUGCAUGAUGAAGUUCCCCGGGCCAGAACCUGGACGCAUCCCGUGCGUGAACUUAGGCUGAAAACCAUAUCCAAUGGUCUGGGACGGGACCAGGUUUGGUCUGUGAUGAGGUGGACCAGGCAUUGGUUCACCUGGCGGGUGAUGGAACCCCCGUCACUGGAGAUGGCACUGACCCUGGUGCUCUAUAACCUGUGAAACCAGCGCCUGAAACACACAAAACAGCUUUAACAAACUCCUAGUUUCUUAAAUAUGUAACUAAAGAGAGUUUAAUAUAAAAACCUACAAGUGUGCUUGUCUAUCUUCUUUGCGCUGCGCAAAAUUAAGCUAUGUAAAGUGGUUUCUUUCCUAUCAUCUUCCCUUAAGCUUCA